ensembl:snoRNA
UUGACGCUGAAUCAAGGUUAUUGUUUUGCUGAAACUUGAUUUAAAACAGGAGUCUAAAGAAAUGUCUUUCUGUGGUCUGCUAGUUAUUUCAGAAAUUGUGAAUAUAUAGGCAAUUCUUUUUAAAAAAAAUAGU